CGGUGGUACAUGUCUUGGUUACUACCUGGACUACUGUCAUCCACUCUGCAUGGGCCUGCUUUUGAAAAGUGCUCGGAAACUUCAGUUGGUUCAAAGAGCAGCAGCUAGAUGGCUAACUGGUACAAUUCCUCUGUCGCUACAGCUCCACUGGUUGCAGGAACAAUUCAAAGUUCUUGUUUUGACCUAAGAAAACCCUAUAUGGCUCUGAUACAGGUUAUCUGAAGGAACAUAUCUCUUUCUAUGAACCUCGAUCUCCUGGGGAGAGCCUUCUAUUAGUCCCAUCAUGCUUGGUGGGAACAUGGGAGAGGGCCUUUUUGGUGGCUGCUUCCAGACUGUGAAACUUCUUCCCAAGAGAGACCAGGAUAGACCCAUCCCUGCUGGCCUUCCACAGGCAGGGACAGGAAACUCUACUGUACUUCCUCUCCAGCAAUGGCAAACUCCAUAGAACCCUGCUUGAAAUACUACUAUAGAAAUUCCAAUUUGUAAUUCUUCCUUUAGGAGUCAAACUGUUUGUGCUUACGCCAGAGUGGUAAGUAC
rnacentral:lncRNA from 11 species